rnacentral:rRNA from 1 species
AGGAUUAACGCUGGCGGCGUGCCUAACACAUGCAAGUCGAACGAGGUAGCAAUACCUAGUGGCAGACGGGUGAGUAACGCGUGGUCAACCUACCGUUGAGUGGGGGAUAACUAGCCGAAAGGUUAGCUAAUACCGCAUACGAGUUUCGGGGGCAUCCCUGAUUCUUAAAAGGAGCAAUCCGCUCGAUGACGGGACCGCGUCCCAUUAGCUAGAUGGUGGGGUAACGGCCUACCAUGGCACCGAUGGGUAGCUGGUUUGAGAGAGCGACCAGCCACACUGGGACUGAGAAACGGCCCAGACUCCUACGGGAGGCAGCAGUGAGGAAUUUUCCGCAAUGGGCGAAAGCCUGACGGAGCGACGCCGCGUGUGGGAAGAAGGCCUUCGGGUCGUAAACCACUGUCGAAGGGGACGAUAAUGACGGUACCCUUGGAGGAAGCCCGGCUAACUACGUGCCAGCAGCCGC